rnacentral:rRNA from 1 species
UGGGGAAUAUUGGACAAUGGGCGCAAGCCUGAUCCAGCCAUGCCGCGUGGGUGAAGAAGGCCUUCGGGUUGUAAAGCCCUUUUGUCCGGAACGAAAAGCGGUCGGUUAAUACCCGAUCGUGCUGACGGUACCGGAAGAAUAAGCACCGGCUAACUUCGUGCCAGCAGCCGCGGUAAUACGAAGGGUGCAAGCGUUACUCGGAAUUACUGGGCGUAAAGCGUGCGUAGGCGGUUCGUUAAGUCUGUCGUGAAAGCCCUGGGCUCAACCUGGGAAUGGCGAUGGAUACUGGCGGGCUAGAGUGUGGUAGAGGAUGGUGGAAUUCCCGGUGUAGCGGUGAAAUGCGUAGAGAUCGGGAGGAACACCAGUGGCGAAGGCGGUCAUCUGGACCAACACUGACGCUGAGGCACGAAAGCGUGGGGAGCAAACA